rnacentral:miRNA from 1 species
AUUGCUACUGAAGAGAAAAGAAAAGCCUGAGGCUUUUGAGGAAGAUCCUCAAGAUUUUCUUUUCUCUUCAGUAGUAAUGCAUUACGUCA